GACGAACGCUGGCGGCGUGCUUAACACAUGCAAGUCGAACGGAAAGGCCCUGCUUUUGUGGGGUGCUCGAGUGGCGAACGGGUGAGUAACACGUGAGUAACCUGCCCUUGACUUUGGGAUAACUUCAGGAAACUGGGGCUAAUACCGGAUAGGAGCUCCUGCUGCAUGGUGGGGGUUGGAAAGUUUCGGCGGUUGGGGAUGGACUCGCGGCUUAUCAGCUUGUUGGUGGGGUCUGGCUUACCAAGGCUUUGACGGGUAGCCGGCCUGAGAGGGUGACCGGCCACAUUGGGACUGAGAUACGGCCCAGACUCCUACGGGAGGCAGCAGUGGGGAAUAUUGCACAAUGGGCGGAAGCCUGAUGCAGCAACGCCGCGUGCGGGAUGACGGCCUUCGGGUUGUAAACCGCUUUCGCCUGUGACGAAGCGUGAGUGACGGUAAUGGGUAAAGAAGCACCGGCUAACUACGUG
rnacentral:rRNA from 1 species